rnacentral:rRNA from 1 species
UACAGAGGGUGCAAGCGUUGUUCGGAAUUAUUGGGCGUAAAGGGCGCGUAGGCGGUGCUGUAAGUCUGUAGUGAAAUCUCUGGGCUCAACUCAGAGUCUGCUAUAGAAACUGCAGUGCUGGAGUGUGGGAGAGGUGAGUGGAAUUCCCGGUGUAGCGGUGAAAUGCGUGGAUAUCGGGAGGAACACCUGUGGCGAAAGCGGCUCACUGGACCACAACUGACGCUGAGGCGCGAAAGCUAGGGGAGCAAACAGG